rnacentral:rRNA from 1 species
UCCGGAUUUAUUGGGCGUAAAGGGCUCGUAGGCGGCUCGUCGCGUCCGGUGUGAAAGUCCAUCGCUUAACGGUGGAUCUGCGCCGGGUACGGGCGGGCUGGAGUGCGGUAGGGGAGACUGGAAUUCCCGGUGUAACGGUGGAAUGUGUAGAUAUCGGGAAGAACACCGAUGGCGAAGGCAGGUCUCUGGGCCGUCACUGACGCUGAGGAGCGAAAGCGUGGGGAGCGAACAGGAUUAGAUACCCUGGUAGUCCACGCCGUAAACGGUGGACGCUGGAUGUGGGGCACGUUCCACGUGUUCCGUGUCGGAGCUAACGCGUUAAGCGUCCCGCCUGGGGAGUACGGCCGCAAGGCUAAAACUCAAAGAAAUUGACGGGGGCCCGCACAAGCGGCGGAGCAUGCGGAUUAAUUCGAUGCAACGUGAAGAACCUUACCUGGGCUUGACAUGUUCCCGACGACGCCAGAGAUGGCGUUUCCCUUCGGGGCGGGUUCACAGGUGGUGCAUGGUCGUCGUCAGCUCGUGUCUGAGAUGUUGGGUUAAGUCCC